CCUACGGGAGGCAGCAGUAGGGAAUAUUGCUCAAUGGGGGAAACCCUGAAGCAGCAACGCCGCGUGGAGGAUGAAGGUUUUCGGAUUGUAAACUUCUUUUGUUAGAGAAGAUAAUGACGGUAUCUAACGAAUAAGCACCGGCUAACUCCGUGCCAGCAGCCGCGGUAAUACGGAGGGGGCAAGCGUUAUUCGGAAUCACUGGGAGUAAAGGGCGCGUAGGCGGGAUAGCAAGUCAGAUGUGAAAUCCUAUGGCUUAACCAUAGAACUGCAUUUGAAACUGUUAGUCUGGAGUAUGGGAGAGGUAGGUGGAAUUCUUGGUGUAGGGGUGAAAUGCGUAGAGAUCAAGAGGAAUACUCAUGGCGAAGGCGGCCUGCUAGACCAUAACUGACGCUGAUGCGCGAAAGCGUGGGGAGCAAACAGGAUUAGAUACCCGAGUAGUC
rnacentral:rRNA from 1 species